rnacentral:rRNA from 1 species
GACAGCAGUAGCCACGGUAAUACGAGGGGUGCAAGCGUUAUUCGGAUUGAUUGGGUGUAAAGGGUGUGCAGACGGCUUAUUAAGUCACUUGUUAAAUUCUUCAGCCUAACUGAAGGUCUGCAAGUGAUACUGAUGAGCUAGAGGGUGGAAGAGAGAAGUGGAAUUCUCGGAGUAGCGGUAAAAUGCGUAGAUCUCGAGAGGAACACCAAUGGCGAAGGCAGCUUCUUGGUCCAUUCCUGACGUUCAUACACGAAAGCGUGGGGAGCAAACAGGAUUAGAUACCCCCGUAGUCCCUGUCUCUUAUAA